ACGGGAGGCAGCAGUGGGGAAUAUUGCACAAUGGGGGAAACCCUGAUGCAGCAACGCCGCGUGAGUGAUGACGGUCUUCGGAUUGUAAAGCUCUGUCUUUGGGGACGAUAAUGACGGUACCCAAGGAGGAAGCCACGGCUAACUACGUGCCAGCAGCCGCGGUAAUACGUAGGUGGCGAGCGUUGUCCGGAUUUACUGGGCGUAAAGGGAGCGUAGGCGGAUUCUUAAGUGGGAUGUGAAAUACCCGGGCUUAACCUGGGUACUGCAUUCCAAACUGGGAAUCUAGAGUGCAGGAGGGGAGAGUGGAAUUCCUAGUGUAGCGGUGAAAUGCGUAAAGAUUAGGAAGAACACCAGUGGCGAAGGCGACUCUCUGGACUGUAACUGACGCUGAGGCUCGAAAGCGUGGGGAGCAAACAGGAUUAGAUACCCUGGUA
rnacentral:rRNA from 1 species